GACUCUGGGCAACAGAUAUCUUGGCUCUCGCUUCAAUGAAGAACGUAGCGAAAUGUGAUACCUGGUGUGAAUUGCAGAAUCCCGUGAACCAUCGAGUCUUUGAAGACAAGUUGCGCCCGAGGCCACUCGGUCGAGGGCACGCCUGCCUGGGCGUCA
rnacentral:rRNA from 1 species